ACGCUCGACACCUACGGGAGCAGCAGUCGGGAAUAUUGCGCAAUGGAGGAAACUCUGACGCAGUGACGCCGCGUGCAGGAAGAAGGUUUUCGGAUUGUAAACUGCUUUAGACAGGGAAGAAAGAAAUGACAGUACCUGUAGAAUAAGCUCCGGCUAACUACGUGCCAGCAGCCGCGGUAAUCUGAGGCGGGCGUGGCAAGGC
rnacentral:rRNA from 1 species